rnacentral:rRNA from 1 species
AUACGGAGGGGGUUAGCGUUGUUAGGAAUUACUGGGCGUAAAGCGCACGUAAGCGGAUUGGAAAGUUGGGGGUGAAAUCCCAGGGCUCAACCCUGGAACUGCCUCUUAAACUCCCGGUCUUGAGUUCGAGAGAGGUGAGUGGAAUUCCUAGUGUAGAGGUGAAAUUCGUAGAUAUUAGGAGGAACACCAGUGGCGAAGGCGGCUCACUGGCUCGAUACUGACGCUGAGGUACGAAAGUGUGGGGAGCAAACAGGAUUAGAUACCCCAGUAGUCC